AGGGCGCAAGGGGGAUGCCUUGGCAUUGGUAGCCGAUGAAGGACGUAGCGAUCUACGAUAAGCCACGGGAAGUCGAAAGCAGGCAAUGAUCCGUGGAUUUCCGAAUGGGGAAACCCGGCAGAGCAAUACUCUGUCAACUCCUUGUGAAUAAAAUAGCAUUGAGUAGGGAACCUCCUGAACUGAAACAUCUAAGUAGGGAGAGGAAAAGAAAUCAACCGAGAUUCCGCUAGUAGUGGCGAGCGAACGCGGAAGAGGCCAAACCAAGAGUAGUAAUACUUUUGGGGUUCGGACUGAGUACGGUAUUGACAAGAGUUAGUAGAAUGGAAUGGGAAGUUCAACCAUAGAGUGUGAGAGUCACGUAUACGAAAACUUAAGUCAGCCAUCAGUAUCCAGAGUACCGCCGGACACGUGAAACCCGGUGGGAAUACGGGGGGACCACCCUCCAAGCCUAAAUACUCACCAAUGACCGAUAGUGUAUAGUACUGUGAAGGAAAGGUGAAAAGAACCCCUGGCGGGGAGUGAAAAAGAACCUGAAACCUUGUGCCUACAAGCACAUAGAGCACGUCAACGUGUGAUAUGGUACCUUUUGUAGAAUGGUCCGGCGAGUGAAUGUCACUAGCGAGGUUAAGAACUUAAGGUUUGCAGCCGAAGCGAAAGCGAGUCUUAAUAGGGCGAGUUUAGUUAGUGGUAUUCGACCCGAAACCGAGUGACCUAGCCAUGAGCAGGCUGAAGUGGAGGUAAAACUCCAUGGAGGGCCGAACCCACUCCCGUUGAAAUGGUAGGGGAUGACUUGUGGCUAGCGGAGAAAUUCCAAUCGAACUCGGAGAUAGCUGGUUCUCUCCGAAAUAGCUUUAGGGCUAGCCUCAAUUAACAUUACCGCAGGUAAAGCACUGAAUGGGCUAGGGGGCGAAAGCUUACUGAACCCUAUCAAACUCAGAAUGGCGGAUAAUGAAUAAUUGGGAGUCACACUACGUGAGAUAAGUUUCGUGGUGGAAAGGGAAACAGCCCAGACCCACAGCUAAGGUCCCAAAGUACAGUUAAGUGGAAAAGGAUGUGAAGUUGCGCAGACAACCAGGAUGUUGGCUCAGAAGCAGCCACUCAUUCAAAGAGUGCGUAAUAGCUCACUGGUCGAGUGAUUUUGCGCCGAAAAUUUAACGGGGCUAAACUGUACACCGAAGCUUGGGAAUAUACCAUAUGGUAUGUUGGUAGGAGAGCGUCGUAUGCGGGGUGAAGUCGUAGCGAAAGCGGCGGUGGACUGCAUAGGAGUGAGAAUGCCGGAAUGAGUAGCGAGAAUUAUGUGAGAAUCAUAAUGGCCGAAAGACUAAGGUUUUAGAAGGAAGGUUCGUCCGCUUCUAGUUAGCCGGGAGCUAAGGCGAGGCCGAAAGGCGUAGUCGAUGCACAUACGGUUGAGAUUCCGUAGCCACCUUAAAUUUAAACUAAGGGACACAUUGAAAGGGAAUAACCCAGGCGUUGGUUGACCUGGGCGUAAGGGAACGAAAAUAAGUAGUGAAGUUAUUCUUGGCACAGUGGCGAGAAAAGCUUAGUGUAUAUUAUUAGGGUGCCCGUACUGCAAACCGACACAGGUAGUCAGGAAGAGAAUUCUAAGGCCAUCGGGAGAAGCGUUGUUAAGGAACUCGGCAAAUUGACCCCGUAACUUCGGAAUAAGGGGUGCUCACGAGAGUGAGCCGCAGUGAAUAGGUCCAGGCAACUGUUUAUCAAAAACACAGCUCUCUGCUAAAUCGUAAGAUGACGUAUAGGGGGUGACACCUGCCCGGUGCUGGAAGGUUAAGAGGAGGAGUGCAAGCCCCGAAUCGAAGCCCCAGUAAACGGCGGCCGUAACUAUAACGGUCCUAAGGUAGCGAAAUUCCUUGUCGGGUAAGUUCCGACCCGCACGAAUGGUGUAAUGAUCUGGACACUGUCUCAACAACGCACCCGGCGAAAUUGUAGUACCGGUGAAGAUGCCGGUUACCCGCGGCAAGACGGAAAGACCCCAUGGAGCUUUACUGUAACUUAAUAUUGGGUCUCGGUACUUUAUGUACAGGAUAGGCGGGAGACUUGGAAACUAGCACGCCAGUGUUAGCGGAGUCAUCCUUGGGAUACCGCUCUUAAGGUAUUGAGAUUCUAACCUGCAGCCUUGAAUCAGGUUGGGGGACAUUGUUAGGUGGGCAGUUUGACUGGGGCGGUCGC
rnacentral:rRNA from 1 species